rnacentral:lncRNA from 10 species
GGGUUUCACCAUGUUGGCCGGGCAUGGUGGCUCAUGCCUGUAAUCCCAGCACUUUGGGAGUCCAAGGUGGGCGGAUCACAAAGUCAGGAGUUCAAGACCAGCCUGGCCAACAUGGUGAAACCCCAUCUCUACUAAAAAUACAAAAACUAGCUGGGCGUGGUGGCAGGCGCCUGUAAUCCCAGCUAUUCAGGAGGCCGAGGCAAGAGAAUCGCUUGAACCCGGGAGACGGAGGUUGUAGUGAGUCAAGAUCGUGCCAUUGCACUCCAGCCUGGGCGACGAGCAAGAUUCAUCUCAAAUAUAUGUUUAGAGCAUUGAUUAAAUUACAAUAGCUCAUUUGUCUUGCAGUGACUCUCAUGACAUUCGUCGGCUUAUGGUUUGAAUAUUUUCUUCAUGGGUAUUUUUGUUUUUGUUUUACUUCCCAAAUAAUAAAAAUUUGGAUUUGCUUUUACUUCUCAAAUAAUGAAAAUUUAGAUUAAUUUCACUUAGAC